UACGAAGGGGGCUAGCGUUGCUCGGAAUCACUGGGCGUAAAGCGCACGUAGGCGGAUUGCUAAGUCAGGGGUGAAAUCCUGGAGCUCAACUCCAGAACUGCCUUUGAUACUGGCGACCUUGAGUCCGGGAGAGGUGAGUGGAACUGCGAGUGUAGAGGUGAAAUUCGUAGAUAUUCGCAAGAACACCAGUGGCGAAGGCGGCUCACUGGCCCGGUACUGACGCUGAGGUGCGAAAGCGUCGGGAGCA
rnacentral:rRNA from 1 species